rnacentral:rRNA from 1 species
AGUUUGAUCCUGGCUCAGGACGAACGCUGGCGGCGUGCCUAAUACAUGCAAGUCGAACGCUUCUUUUUCCACCGGAGCUUGCUCCACCGGAAAAAGAGGAGUGGCGAACGGGUGAGUAACACGUGGGUAACCUGCCCAUCAGAAGGGGAUAACACUUGGAAACAGGUGCUAAUACCGUAUAACAAUCAAAACCGCAUGGUUUUGAUUUGAAAGGCGCUUUCGGGUGUCGCUGAUGGAUGGACCCGCGGUGCAUUAGCUAGUUGGUGAGGUAACGGCUCACCAAGGCCACGAUGCAUAGCCGACCUGAGAGGGUGAUCGGCCACAUUGGGACUGAGACACGGCCCAAACUCCUACGGGAGGCAGCAGUAGGGAAUCUUCGGCAAUGGACGAAAGUCUGACCGAGCAACGCCGCGUGAGUGAAGAAGGUUUUCGGAUCGUAAAACUCUGUUGUUAGAGAAGAACAAGGAUGAGAGUAACUGUUCAUCCCUUGACGGUAUCUAACCAGAAAGCCACGGCUAACUACGUGCCAGCAGCCGCGGUAAUACGUAGGUGGCAAGCGUUGUCCGGAUUUAUUGGGCGUAAAGCGAGCGCAGGCGGUUUCUUAAGUCUGAUGUGAAAGCCCCCGGCUCAACCGGGGAGGGUCAUUGGAAACUGGGAGACUUGAGUGCAGAAGAGGAGAGUGGAAUUCCAUGUGUAGCGGUGAAAUGCGUAGAUAUAUGGAGGAACACCAGUGGCGAAGGCGGCUCUCUGGUCUGUAACUGACGCUGAGGCUCGAAAGCGUGGGGAGCAAACAGGAUUAGAUACCCUGGUAGUCC